GACACGGACAUUUCACAGCCUCAGAGGUUCCAGAGUGGAAUAUGGAUGCUGCAUGUGACGUUUCCUGCCUUCCAGGUACCAUUGCCUGUCUUUGGUGGAUCCUUGCUUCUGUGCUUGGAGUGCACGUAGCAUCCUCUAGUGAAAGACCAUCUCUUUUCUGCACCUGGCUCCCCCCAGCAACCAUGGGGAAGCUCUGCUGGUGUAGCAGCUAUUCUCUUCUAGCUGGCUGUAUCUUGUAUGUUGAGCAGAGAGAAGAUUGAAGAUCUGGCACACAGUAAUCACAUGUUCUGUGUUUCUGUGCUAUAUAAUGGCUACCUCUGCUCAUAGAAACACAGCCCUCAAGACUGAAACAAAGGUCCCUAAAAGCUUCACUUUUCCAAAGGUUAGAUCCAUCUUCGCCUCUCAGGCCAGGACAUGAGAGACUGACUGGUGGUGUCUUCUCAGCUUUAAACCAAGCCAAAGACUAGGUGUUUCUCCAUUUAUCCUGUAUCUGGUGAUCUACCUACUUCUAAAUAAUGCUGAUCACUGGAGCUCCUGACAACAAUACACCAGUGGAGAUGUUCUGAGGACAGCAUUCCAAGAACAGACAGGAUAAUGAAACUCACAAGACACUUGGUUUUAUUUCCAAACAUACAAUUUUGAGGUUUGGAGAAAAUGUUUUGUCUUCCAGGUUUUCAUAUUUCAUAGAAAAAUCAAUGGAGCAUGAAAAAACAGGCCUUGGAAAAUUAACCAAAGCUCUAAUUUUCUGCAAAAAGACUGCUUCAGUAGAAAUAUUUUCAUCAAGCUGUUAAAAGCAUGAGCCCACCUGCUGAUAUAGUGCUCUGCUUUGAACUGGAAAAAUGAGUGUGGAUUCUUAGACAUUUGCGUACAUCCUGAAGAUACAAGUUAGGUUGCAGAAGUUUGUCUUCAUGCAAGAUGUCAGUCCCUUGAACUCGUAAGAGAAAGCUCUUACUCCCAGGCAAUACCUGGGAGAUAUGCUUCCAGCUCUUAACUCUCCUUUCGCCUGAUCUCUCUCUGAGUUAAUAAGAAGCUUUUUGCACUUCAUGACUAAGAUGCUCUUGUCAAUAUUAAACUAAAAUUGAUCCUCAGCUUCACCAUUUAUAUCAGCAACAAAUUGCGUAUUAUUUUUUUUGUAACACUUGCUUGAAUUGAGCAGUGGUUUGCAUCAAACUUUUUUAUGUUAAUGAUAUUCUUGCAAUUCCUUUCAUAGCAUAAAAUAGUUAAUUAUCAAUCAUGACAAUCCUGCUAUGGGUUUGGAUAAAGUAUUUCAUACUUCCCUUUAUUAACCCCGUUGUCAAACAGCAAACAAAACCUAUGACUGGUCUCUCUUAGUUUCUGUUGCUUUGGAAGCUAGUUACAUGUCUUCAUCUGUAAAUUGUUAGUCUUUAAAAAAAAUUAAAAUAGUAUUGGCUGAGGUUUUUUAAUCUUUCUUUCUUUCUGUGUUAUCAUUAAUAUGCUAUGUUUAAGAGCUCUGUUUCAAAUUGGUAGGCUGAAGCUUCUGAGUCUUCUUAGCCUUCUGAAAGCUAAUUAACUCAUAAUUCAAUUUAGAGCAGGACUUUUAUCAGCAGAAAGUCAUAAUCAGAGAGGAAGGAUGGGGUAAUGACUAAUGAAGUCUUUUUCCAAGGUCUUUACCAGUCUUCCCUGGUGACCUUAGAAAAUCUGUGUAAAUACUCUUAUUUUUCUGUGUCUACUUUAUCUAGAGAAGAAAUAUUUUGAUCAAGGACUAUCACUGUAGAUGAGAAUGACUUCAAAGUUCUGCUGUCCUGAUAGUAUUCUUCAAAUAUGCGUCAUGUUGCCUUUUUUCAGUAAUAGGUCUCGAGAGCUUUUCAUAACAUAACCAGGUUAGAAUGGUCCUCUGUUACUUAAGGUCUAGCAAGUAAGUCGAAAGCAUGGAAAAAUCUUUCAAAGUCCAUGGUAAUAAAAUCUCCACUAUAAAAUUUUAA